GCCUAGCGACUCCUCAACCAUUCCCACUUCCGGCUCCCGCUCGCCCGGACGUGACGCAAGCACGCCGACACACCGCCGAUGGGAAACUGAGGCACAAUGAGAUGAAGUGACAUGCCCAAGGGCACACAGCAAGUCUGUGUUAGUCCCAAGAGUUGAACCCAGCUUUUCUGAAUAAUGAUACGGUGGCUGAAACACAAGAUCAUUCUUUCCUCUCCUUCAUGCCAGCUCUUCAGUCUGGAGAUUUCAAUGGAUUUAAGUCUACUAACAGCUGGACCAAAGGCUUAAUUGAGGGUCACAGGAGAAAUAAAUCAACAAAGGGCAAAUUCAUUCUAGCAAAGUUACUUCUUCAAGAUGUAUUCCCUGUCCUGGCAAUAUACCUUGGCAUCACUUCAGACAGCUGCAUCUUCCCCAUGUUUCCUGAGGGCUUGAAACCAGAAAGGAAAAAUUGUGAAAAGAUUUGAUUAAGGACACAUCUAGCUGCAUGACAUACAACAAGACACUGAAUUAUGCAACCAAAGAGUGCAAAGCAACCCCCCCACUCCUAAAGGGCUCCCAGACUACGGGAAGUCAGUCCUCUCCAGAAACAUCAAACCAAUGCUUGAUUUAAGAGAGAGAGAGAGAGAGAGAGUCAAAGCCAGGGGUGGGGAACCUCU